rnacentral:lncRNA from 1 species
AAAGAAAGUCAUUAUUAUUCAGAUUAAUGUACACAAAUCAAAACAUUUUUAUACACAAUUUUUUUUAUUUAAACAUUUUCUCAUUGUUGAAGGACUGGUCUGUGAACUUGAAUAUGAAGAACAGCAAUAAAAUAAAAGGGUUUCUUUGUUGUAGACCAAGUAAAUUUGACAUUUUCCAUCUCUUAUUCUUCUAUUUUUUUCCUGCUUCUUUAACAGGGACGUUAGAAAGAACCAAUCGAGCGUAUCUUUAGUUUGGCUGCAUCAUUUUUCCAUGUGGACUGCUUCCAAAAAAUGAAACCAGAUAAUCUCCAGAAAACUUCAGCAUGACAUCUCAAAGUCCCCUUCUACAGGCAUGGGCAGAAAGCCUGUAGCUGUCGUAGGCCGCUAGCGAACAUCCGAGGCCGCCCGUCCUCGCGAGUCUGCGACGUGGGCCAUUCUCAACAUCCAUGACUGUCGUCCCAUUUGGAGGUAACCAGCUACUUCGAGGAAACGCCACAAGCAG